CAGUUAUGCCCAAAGACCAGCCUGCUGGACACUGUAACAUGCAGUUAACUACCAAAGUUUAAGAUGAAAGCAAUGGAGCAUAUAAAGAUGAAAGCAACAGAUCUAAAUUCCAGGGUUGAGCCAAAAAAGGCCUUGCAACUGAUGAGAACGUUGAGACCUGCAACCCGUUUACCAGUCCGUUGACAUCCGACUUACAAUGUGACCUGAAAGUGAAGAUAUGGGGUUAAAAACAGUACCUCUACUGUCUAAAUGGAAGAUCAUCAUAAAAAAAAACACAAAUCAGUUGGCCAAGGUAUUCUUUACAUCAUAUUACACUUUCAGUUUUGAAACUCUUAACAUAAAAAGGACACGAAGAUGAUGGUGAAGCAUGGUGAAUCGAAGGAUUAUAAGAUGAUGUUGAAGCAUGAUAAACUGAAGGCGGGCUCAAGUUUAGAAGAUGAGGCCGAACAUGAUAAAUCGAAGGUGAACUCAAGUUCGUGUACUUUCUUUUUUUCAGUUUACCAUUUGAUCUUUAAACAUGUAAUUAAAGAUUCAUAUUUUCUGUUUUUUUUUAUUUAAACAGGAUCGGAUCAAAUCGAAUGGCAAAUGGUGUAUUUGUAA